CGCGGUAAUUCCAGCUCCAAUAGCGUAUAUUAAAGUUGUUGCAGUUAAAAAGCUCGUAGUUGGAUUUGUGGUGCGACAGACCGGUCCGACCUUUGGUGGGUACUCGGUGUUGUUGCGCCAUCCUUGAGAGGUACGUUCUGGCAUUAAGUUGUCGGGGCGGUGUCCGCUCAUCGUUUACUGUGAGAAAAUUAGAGUGUUCAAAGCAGGCUUAUGCCGUUGAAUAUGCUAGCAUGGAAUAAUAAGAUAGGACCUCGGUACUAUUUUGUUGGUUUGAGAACCAAGGUAAUGAUCAAUAGGGACAGUUGGGGGUAUUCGUAUUCAGUUGUCAGAGGUGAAAUUCUUAGAUUUACGGAAGACGAACUACUGCGAAAGCAUUUACCAAGGAUGUUUUCAUUAAUCAGGAACGAAAGUAUGGGGAUCGAAGAUGAUUAGAUACCAUCGUAGUCUAUACAUAAACUAUGCCGACUCAGGAUGGGCGGGUGCCACUCUGGCCUCGUCUGCACUGUAUGAGAAAUCAAAGUCUUUGGGUUCCGGGGGGAGUAUGGUCGCAAGGCUGAAACUUAAAGGAAUUGACGG
rnacentral:rRNA from 1 species